GAUUUGAUAGAAGAUUCGGGAGGGUUUCUAUGAGCAUUGGUUUUGGGUGAUUUGGAUCUGUAUUGACUUUGUAAGAAUUUAGGAUUUAGGAUUUUAUUUGGAUUUAUUUAGGAUUUAAGAUUUAAUUAGUUUUGGCCUAAAGUUUGAAUGAAGUCCAAAAGGAUUUUAACUAGGAUUAAAUUAAGAUUGAAUUGAGAUGUAUUUGAGAUAUAUUUGUGAUCAUUUUAAUAUUCAAUCAUCUUUAGUAAAUUAGAUCUUUGUAGUGGCUAUUGAUAGAUACCUA
rnacentral:lncRNA from 1 species